rnacentral:lncRNA from 1 species
GGGGAUAGCAAAAUCUUCUGGCCGGGAUACGCUCAUAGCUAUCUGCUUGGCGUUGUUCUGCCCGGCUGGCUGUGGAGGUACCUCCUCGACCGCGCGAGUCUCCGCGGUUUCUGGUCGAGGAUCAUUGUUUCUUUUCACGAACUGUCUUAGUUGUCCGCUUCUGAUCAUGAUUUCAAUAGCAUCCUUCAGUUGGAUGCAGUCGUCGGUCCUAUGACCAUAACUUUUGUGGUAUCUGCAAUACCUAUUUUUGUCUUGGCCGGGCUUCAGGGGGGUUGGCUUUGGUUGCUUCACAUUUGCUCUGUCAAACUCAGAGAUGUGAAUUUCAGCGAAUAUCUCUCCCCGUGAUUUGACGAGGGGAGUGUAGGUGGCGAAUGUGCUUGGAGGGCCACGAGGCUCUCUUCUUUCGCUCCUCCU